AGAGUUUGAUCCUGGCUCAGGAUAAACUCUGACAGAAUGCUUAACACAUGCAAGUCUAUGAGGAAGUUUAGCUUGCUAAAUGGACUCAUGGCGGACGGGUGAGUAACGCGUAAAGAACUUGCCCUUUAGACUGGGAUAACAGAGGGAAACUUCUGAUAAUACUGGAUAAGUUAGUAUAUCGCAUGAUAUACAAAUGAAAGCUACGGCACUAAAGGAGAGCUUUGCGUCCUAUUAGCUAGUUGGUAAGGUAAGAGCUUACCAAGGCGAUGAUAGGUAGCCGGCCUGAGAGGGUGGACGGCCACAAGGGGACUGAGAUACGGCCCUUACUCCUACGGGAGGCAGCAGUGGGGAAUAUUGGACAAUGGAGGGAACUCUGAUCCAGCAAUUCUGUGUGUGUGAAGAAGGUUUUAGGACCGUAAAACACUUUUAGUAGGGAAGAAAAAAAUGACGGUACCCUACAGAAGAAGCAACGGCUAAAAUACGUGCCCAGCAGCCCGCGGUAAUACGUAUGUUGCGAGCGUUAUCCCGGAAUUAUUGGGCUUAAAGGGCAUCUAGGCCGUAAGACAAGUUGAAGGUGAAAACCUGUGGCUCAACCAUAGGCUCGCCUACAAAACUGUUGAACUAGAGUACUGGAAAGGUGGGUGGAACUACACGAGUAGAGGUGAAAUUCGUAGAUAUGUGUAGGAAUGCCGAUGAUGAAGAUAACUCACUGGACAGAAACUGACGCUGAAGUGCGAAAGCUAGGGGAGCAAACAGGAUUAGAUACCCUGGUAGUCCUAGCUGUAAACGAUGAUCACUGGGUGUGGGGAUGCGAAGUCUCUGUGCCGAAGCAAAAGCGAUAAGUGAUCCGCCUGGGGAGUACGUUCGCAAGAAUGAAACUCAAAGGAAUUGACGG
rnacentral:rRNA from 1 species